AGAGUUAAAUAGUACGUGAAAUUGUUGAAAGGGAAACGAUUGAAGCCAGUCGUACCGGCGGGUAAUCAGCCUUUUGGGUGUGAUUAUGUGGGCGUGAGGAGUUAAUCACCCUCAUCUUUGCAUAUUCGUGCACUUUGGGUGUACUUGCUCGUGUGGUAGGUUAACAUCAAUUUUGAUUAUCAUAAAAUGAUUGAAGGAAUGUAGCUUCGAUCUCGUAUUGAAGUGUUAUAGCCUUUAGUAGAUGUGGUGAUUGGGACUGAGGAUUGCAACGAAUAUCCUUUGGGCUAUCCGUCUGAUCUCUGAAAGUUGCUCUGGUGCUGAAAGCUUGCUUAUGGUAUCAAAGUUGACGUUCAAUAGGUUAGAACGGGAUAAAUUCGUUAAGGAUGUUGACGUAAUGGCUUUAAACGACC
rnacentral:rRNA from 1 species